UCGGUAUGAGAACCUCCCGGGGUUGGGCCUAUUACUUUUAAACUUAGUCUAUAGGUCUAAUAUAUCUCUGUACCAAAUUUCGUCGCAAUCGGUCUGGCAGUUUAGGAAUGCAAACAAACAAACAGAUGGACAGAAACUAUUUUACAGGCAAGUUUGUAAGAUGGAGACAACGCGUAUGGUUGUGUAAUCGUUUUCUUAAGUAUUAAUAGAUAUUCAAAAUUCUUGACAUUUUUUCGUUAUAUUAUAUUGAUUACAAUUUUGUUGGAUUACUACUUUCACUUGGUGCUAAUCAUAUGAUUUUAUUUUCAACCAAUAACCGAAAAGUUUGUAGGUACCGUAUAUGCAUGGUUCAGACAACAAUAUACAGUGACAAUCAUCGAUAACGGCAAAUUAUUAAAUUUUUUAAAUCGGGAAAUACUUUUUUUUGUCGUAAAAGCUCUUGAAAUAUAAAAUUAUUACUGAUUAAUAACAUUUAUAAAGCUGAUAAUACAUACGGAAUGUCACCGUACGCGUUAAAUAAUCAGGUGAAUAAUAGCACAAU